rnacentral:lncRNA from 1 species
UUUCGGUAUUGACUGUAAAAAGUGCUUAAGUGCAGUAUGAGUAAAAUACAGAAUUAACUCUAUCUUUUUUUAUAUUUCUUUAUUUUAGAGGUAAGCUGCUGGCCAAGUUUCACUUAUUCUGUCGCAAAUCAUUUACUUCAAUAACCAAUCAAUUGUAUUCUGAAAGAAGUUGAUUUGUUCUCUGUACGAAUACAUGAAAUAUUUCUCACUGAACAUUAUGUUUGCAAUCGAUGAUCAAAUACAAAUCUACAGUAUUUAUAUGAAAGAGACUUAAUAAUAUAUUUCUUUAUUAUUAUUC